rnacentral:tRNA from 1 species
GCCCUGGUGGCGUAAUGGUUAAGCUCUCAACUUCUAACUGAAAUGCUGGUGGUUCAAACCUACCCAGUGGCU